CUGCAGAGGAACGGCUGUUGAUCUGCGGUGGCUUCAGGUCCCCGGCUCGUUGGUGGCUCCCGCGCUCUGCUUCUCCCCACUUCUCUCCAGCAGCUGCCUGGUGAAGACAAAGCCAUGGCGCUCCGGGUCACCAGGAACACAAAAGUUAAUGUUGAAAAUAAGGUGAAGGUCAGUAUGGCAGGCACAAAGCGCGUGCCUCUGGCCACGACUGCGGCCUCCAAACCCGGGCUGAGGCCAAGAACGGCUCUCGGAGACAUUGGUAACAAAGUCAGCGAACAACCACAGGCCAAACUGCCUCUGAAAAAGGAAGCAAAAACUUUGGUUCCUGGAAAAGUUAUUGCUAAAAAAAUACCUAAACCUCUGGAAAAGGCACCUGAGCCUGUGCCAGAACCAGAGCCAGAUCCUGAGCCCAUUAAAGAAGAAAAACUUUCGCCUGAGCCUAUUUUGGUUGAUACUCCCUCUCCAAGCCCAAUGGAAACAUCUGGAUGUGCCCCUGCAGAAGAAUAUCUGUGUCAGGCAUUCUCUGAUGUAAUUCUUGCAGUGAAUGAUGUGGAUGCAGAAGAUGGAGCUGAUCCAAACCGUUGCAGUGAACAUGUGAAAGAUAUUUAUGCUUAUUUGAGACAACUUGAGGAAGAGCAAGCAGUCAGACCAAAAUACCUACUGGGUCGUGAAGUCACUGGAAACAUGAGAGCCAUCCUUAUUAACUGGCUAGUACAGGUUCAAAUGAAAUUCAGGUUACUGCAGGAGACCAUGUACAUGACUGUUUCCAUUAUUGAUCAGUUCAUGCAGAAUAACUGUGUGCCCAAGAAGAUGCUGCAGCUGGUUGGUAUCACUGCCAUGUUUAUUGCAAGCAAAUAUGAAGAAAUGUACCCUCCAGAAAUUGGUGACUUUGCCUUUGUGACUGACAACACUUACACUAAACACCAAAUCAGACAGAUGGAAAUGAAGAUUCUAAGAUCUUUAAAUUUUGGUUUGGGCCGCCCUCUACCCCUGCAUUUCCUUCAGAGAGCAACUAAGAUUGGAGAGGUUGAUGUUGAGCAACAUACUUUAGCCAAAUACCUGAUGGAACUAACUAUGUUGGACUACGAUAUGGUGCACUUUCCUCCUUCUCAGAUUGCAGCAGGAGCUUUUUGCUUAGCACUGAAAAUUCUUGAUAAUGGUGAAUGGACACCAACUCUACAGCAUUAUCUCUCAUACACUGAAGAAUCCCUUCUAAAUGUUAUGCAACACCUGGCUAAGAAUAUAGUCACGGUGAAUCAUGGGCUUACAAAGCACAUGACUAACAAGAACAAGUAUGCCACAUCUAAGCAUGCUAAGAUCAGCACUCUGGCACAGCUAAAUUCUGCACUAGUUCAAUACUUAGCCCAGGCUGUGGCAAAGGUGUAACUUGUAAACAUGAGUUAGAGUACUAUAACUGCAAAUAAAAUUGGCACCAUGUGCCAUCUGUACAUAUUAUAUGUUACCUUUACUUUUAAUAAAGUUUGUGGUCCUUUUUA